AUUGAACGCUGGCGGCAUGCCUUACACAUGCAAAUCGAACGGUAACGGGCCUUCGGGUGCCGACGAGUGGCGAACGGGUGAGUAAUACAUCGGAACGUGCCCGAUCGUGGGGGAUAACGAGGCGAAAGCUUUGCUAAUACCGCAUACGAUCUACGGAUGAAAGCAGGGGACCGCAAGGCCUUGCGCGGACGGAGCGGCCGAUGGCAGAUUAGGUAGUUGGUGGGAUAAAAGCUUACCAAGCCGACGAUCUGUAGCUGGUCUGAGAGGAUGAUCAGCCACACUGGGACUGAGACACGGCCCAGACUCCUACGGGAGGCAGCAGUGGGGAAUUUUAGACAAUGGGCGCAAGCCUGAUCCAGCCAUGCCGCGUGCAGGAUGAAGGCCUUCGGGUUGUAAACUGAUUUUGUACGGAACGAAAAGCCUUCUUUUAAUACAGGAGGGUCAUGACGGUACCGUAAGAAUAAGCACCGGCUAACUACGUG
rnacentral:rRNA from 1 species